GGCGAGAGCUCAGUGGUAGAGCACGUGCUUAGCAUGCAUGAGGUCCUGGGCUCAAUCCCCAGUAUCUUCA
rnacentral:tRNA from 1 species